GCGGCAACAGCUCAAAUUUGAAAUCUGGCCCCCUCGGGGCCCGAGUUGUAAUUUGUAGAGGAUGUUUCGGGUGUGGCUCCGGUCUAAGUUCCUUGGAACAGGACGUCAUAGAGGGUGAGAAUCCCGUAUGUGACUGGCAGCCUACGCCCAUGUGAAACUCCUUCGACGAGUCGAGUUGUUUGGGAAUGCAGCUCAAAAUGGGUGGUAAAUUUCAUCUAAAGCUAAAUAUUGGCCAGAGACCGAUAGCGCACAAGUAGAGUGAUCGAAAGAUGAAAAGCACUUUGGAAAGAGAGUUAAACAGUACGUGAAAUUGUUGAAAGGGAAGCGCUUGCAACCAGACUUGCGUGCGGCCGAUCAUCCGGUGUUCUCACCGGUGCACUCGGUCGUGCUCAGGCCAGCAUCGGUUUCGGCGGCUGGAUAAAGGCCAUGGGAAUGUAGCUCCUCUCGGGGAGUGUUAUAGCCCGUGGUGCAAUGCAGCCCGCUGGGACCGAGGACCGCGCUUCGGCUAGGAUGCUGGCGUAAUGGUUGUAAGCGACCCGUCUUGAAACACGGACCAAGGAGUCUAACAUCUAUGCGAGUGUUUGGGUGUCAAACCCAUACGCGGAAUGAAAGUGAACGGAGGUGAGAACCCUUAAGGGUGCAUCAUCGACCGAUCCUGAUGUCUUCGGAUGGAUUUGAGUAAGAGCAUAGCUGUUGGGACCCGAAAGAUGGUGAACUAUGCCUGAAUAGGGUGAAGCCAGAGGAAACUCUGGUGGAGGCUCGCAGCGGUUCUGACGUGCAAAUCGAUCGUCAAAUUU
rnacentral:rRNA from 1 species